rnacentral:lncRNA from 1 species
CCUUAUUGGGAUGAAGCGAUUCGUUCCUCAAUCUCUGUUUAUUCUUCUGUAAUUUACUCGGCAUCAUUUUGCCCGUGCGGAAAUCGAAACAACUCAAAUCCACGGCGUUCCCCAAAUAACGGGCAAGUUGAGGUUUGCUUCGGAACUUCUUCCCGCUCGGACUGAAGUAAUACACGUCGCUUUUGCCUGCGCUUAAACCCGACUUACGGAUCACCUCUUCUUUCUUCCAACCCGGUGGAAGGGCCGGGCAGUCCGUCCUGCCCUGUUUAUCCAUUUUGGGGG